UCGGUGAUGACUGAUGGAGGAAGAUAAAAGAUCAGCAUUGGCGAUGGUCGAUGGGGGAAGAUGGAAGACUGGAGUCUACAAUGGCCAAUAGGGGAAGACAGAAGAUCAGCAUCCAUGAUAGGCAAAGACAGAAGAUUGGAUGGACACAGACCAAGGCAAAGGGCUAGGACUCUUCAAGUUGGAGUUGGAGUCUUGGAGAUGAAGUGAUGAAUGUCACAAAUAGCAGUUGCAUUUAGCUAGUCAUGGGGGAAGACAGAAGAUCGGCAUCCAUAAUGGGGGAAGAU
rnacentral:lncRNA from 1 species